GCCGCUGUAGCCCAGUUGGUAGAGGCGUCGACAGUACAGGUGGCGAAGGUCGCUGGUUCACAUCCAGCUUGCGGUG